AGAGUUUGAUCAUGGCUCAGGAUGAACGCUAGCGGGAGUAACACAUGCAAGUCGAGGGGCAGCACGGGCUUCGGCCUGGUGGCGACCGGCGCACGGGUGCGUAACGCGAUGCNNCCUGCCUUAUGCAGGGGGAUAGCCCAUGGAAACGUGGAUUAAUACCCCAUAGAAUCAAUGAUUCGCAUGGAUUAUUGAUUAAAACUUCGGUGGCAUAAGAUGGGCAUGCGUCUGAUUAGCUUGUUGGUGAGGUAACGGCUCACCAAGGCGACGAUCAGUAGGGGUUCUGAGAGGAUUAUCCCCCACACUGGUACUGAGACACGGACCAGACUCCUACGGGAGGCAGCAGUGAGGAAUAUUGGUCAAUGGGCGCGAGCCUGAACCAGCCAUCCCGCGUGCAGGAUGACGGCCCUAUGGGUUGUAAACUGCUUUUCUACGCCAAGAAACCUGAUUACGUGUAAUCAGUUGCCGGUAGCGUAGGAAUAAGCAUCGGCUAACUCCGUGCCAGCAGCCGCGGUAAUACGGAGGAUGCAAGCGUUAUCCGGAUUCAUUGGGUUUAAAGGGUGCGCAGGUGGGCUUGUAAGUCAGUGGUGAAAUGCUGCCGCUUAACGGUAGAAUUGCCAUUUGAUACUGCGAGUCUUGAGUAUGGUUGAGGUAGGCGGAAUGUGUUGUAGCGGUGAAAUGCAUAGAUAUGACACAGAACGCCGAUUGCGAAGGCAGCUUACUAAGCCAUUACUGACGCUGAGGCACGAAAGCGUGGGGAGCGAACAGGAUUAGAUACCCUAGUAGUCC
rnacentral:rRNA from 1 species